GUGAGGAAUAUUGGUCAAUGGGCGAGAGCCUGAACCAGCCAAGUCGCGUGAAGGAAGAAGGAUCUAUGGUUCGUAAACUUCUUUUGCAGGGGAAUAAAGUGCAGGACGUGUCCUGUUUUGUAUGAACCCUGAGAAUAAGGAUCGGCUAACUCCGUGCCAGCAGCCGCGGUAAUACGGAGGAUCCGAGCGUUAUCCGGAUUUAUUGGGUUUAAAGGGUGCGUAGGUGGUUUGAUAAGUCAGCGGUGAAAGUUUGCAGCUUAACUGUAAAAAUGCCGUUGAAACUGUCGGACUUGAGUGUAAAUGAGGUAGGCGGAAUGCGUGGUGUAGCGGUGAAAUGCAUAGAUAUCACGCAGAACUCCGAUUGCGAAGGCAGCUUACUAAGCUACAACUGACACUGAAGCACGAAAGCGUGGGGAUCAAACAGGAUUAGAAACCCCUGUAGUCC
rnacentral:rRNA from 1 species